rnacentral:rRNA from 1 species
AGGACGAACGCUGGCGGCGUGCUUAACACAUGCAAGUCGAGCGGUAAGGCUCCUUCGGGAGUACACGAGCGGCGAACGGGUGAGUAACACGUGAGCAAUCUGCCCUUCACUCUGGGAUAACCCCCGGAAACGGGAGCUAAUACCGGAUACGACCACCUCAGGCAUCUGAUGGUGGUGGAAAGUUCCGGCGGUGAAGGAUGAGCUCGCGGCCUAUCAGCUUGUUGGUGAGGUAAUGGCUCACCAAGGCUUCGACGGGUAGCCGGCCUGAGAGGGUGACCGGCCACACUGGGACUGAGACACGGCCCAGACUCCUACGGGAGGCAGCAGUGGGGAAUAUUGGACAAUGGGCGAAAGCCUGAUCCAGCAACGCCGCGUGGGGGAUGACGGCCUUCGGGUUGUAACCUCUUCAGCAGGGACGAAGCGAAAGUGACGGUACCUGCAGAAGAAGCACCGGCAACUACGUGCCAGCAGCCGC